rnacentral:rRNA from 1 species
CCUACGGGAGGCAGCGGUCGAGAAUCAUUCACAAUGGGGGAAACCCUGAUGGUGCGACGCCGCGUGGGGGAAUGAGUGUCUUCGUAUUUUAAACCCCUUUCAUGUGGGAGCAAAUUAAAAAGAUAGUACCACAAGAGGAAGAGACGGCUAACUCUGUGCCAGCAGCCGCGGUAAUACGGAGGGCUCAAGCGUUGUUCGGAAUCACUGGGCGUAAAGCGUGCGUAGGCUGUUUCGUAAGUCGUGUGUGAAAGGCGCGGGCUCAACCCGCGGACGGCACCUGAUACUGCGAGACUCGAGGGAUGGAGGGGGAACCGGAAUGCUCGGUGUAGCAGUGAAAUGCGUAGAUAGCGAGAGGAACACUCGUGGCGAAGGCGGGUUCCUGGACAGUAACUGACGCUGAGGCACGAAGGCCAGGGGAGCGAAAGGGAUUAGAUACCCGUGUAGUC